rnacentral:pre_miRNA from 1 species
AAACUUGGAAACUAUCAUUAGAUCGAAAAAUAAACGUCUAAGAUUUGUCCAUGUCAUCACGAGUAAAAAUUUUACUUAUGGUGAUGUGGACGAAUCUCGAACGUCCAUUUUUCGAUCCAACGAUAGUUUCUAAGUUUCUA